GAAUCUUCCGCAAUGGACGAAAGUCUGACGGAGCACCGCCGCGUGAGUGAUGAAGGUUUUCGGAUCGUAAAGCUCUGUUGCCAGGGAAGAACGAUUGGGAUAGUAACUGCUCCCACGGUUACGGUACCUGCGGAGAAAGCCCCGGCUAACUACGUUCCAGCAGCAGCGGUAAUACGUAGGGGGCAAGCGUUGACCGGAAUUAUUGGGCGUAAAGCGCGCGCAGGCGGCCUUGUAAGUCUGUGGUUUAAACUUUGGGCUCAACCCCAAGUCGCAAUGGAAAAUGCAAAGCUUGAGUACAGAAGAGGAAAGUGGAAUUCCACGUGUAGCGGUGAAAUGCGUAGAGAUGUGGAGGAACACCAGUGGCGAAGGCGACUUUCUGGGCUGUAACUGACGCUGAGGCGCGAAAGCGUGGGGAGCAAGCA
rnacentral:rRNA from 1 species